AAAAAAAAAAUUAACCUAACCGCUACCGCCCGCAACCGCAAACGCUUGCGGGAAGGAACUUUUAAAAUAUGGCGAUUUCGAGCGGUCCAAAGCGGUAUCUAACGGUUUUUAUGAUUGGUGUCAAACGCUAACAACUGCUACCACCCGCAAACGCAGCGUUUGCGGGUGACAGAGGGAGAACCAAUCAAGCUCUAAGACUAAUCGGACCAAUUUAGCAACUUGUGUGCUUCGAUGUGUUGGACUGGGCUAGAUUGGGC
rnacentral:sRNA from 1 species